CCACCCACAUUGUUAAAUAUUGUUUGUGUUGUUUUGGCCGGACAUAUGAAAAGUCUUGAAGGCAACGUUUUAGAUUUAGAUACUAUUAACCUUCCUGAAUUCAAAUGCCAUUUUCCUCCACUAACAUGUGCACACACCUACACACACUCCCCACCUACACACACACAAAACACAUAUUCUGACACACAACAGUGUUUAUAGUAAAAGGUCACAGCUGAAAUGUUGAGCACACAAUCUGCUCUUACUAUGAAAGACUUUUUUUAAUCAUUUAAAUGCUUUAUAAAUAACUGCCCGUGUCCUAGUUUUAAACAGAUACAGACAUGUGCGUGCAACAUUAACCUCAGGACUCUAGGUAUAGAACGCUAAAGAACGCAAAAGAUAAAAAGGACCAGGCCUGAAGUUGUUCCUUUUUAAAGAAGUGGUGAAAAUGCCCUCUGAACGAUGUAGCUUCACUUUUAAAUGUCACUGCACUAAAGGUUUGUUUUCUACAAAUGUGCCAAGAUAAGACUGCCUCAAUCCUCAAGAUAUUUAAGGGAAAUAAAUGCUCUAAUGCCCUUUCA